UACUUUGAGUACCCAAAGGGCUUCUCUUCAGCUCCACAGAGCUCUGAUUACACCAGAAAUCCUCUCCUGAGUGUAAGCAACAAUUAUCUGCUGAUACUGAAAUUGAGAAAAUGCUGUAACAGGUACAUGUAUGUGAACCUAAUGAGGAUUUCAGCCCAGUUAAAGUGCACUUGUACCUAAAUUAGUGAGUGGGAGACUUCAGGGACAGGAAAAAAAAAAAGAGUUUGGUAGGCCUGCAGAAAUUUAACAAUGUAAAACUUUCUCAAAGUGUAACCUUUCCUGUCCUGCUUUUGAUGACAGCAAUGAUUCAGAGUAAUGGGAAGACAAUGGUCUGGAACACCCAGUCUUUUCAAGCAGCUGUGCUAUUGCCAUGAUCCACACUGACACAUCUCUGAGGUUCAUGCUGGAGAGGUUUCUGCAGCUAAUUACAUUUUCACCCUCACAGGGGCUAAUUACACAACAUUCCAGAUCAAAUACACAAGACUGAUCAUCUGAAACUGGGCACCCGAAACGGUCCCAAGCGCUGGGGCGGAUUGGUCACUUCUUAAACGACCUUCUGCUUUUUGGGGAGUUGAAACCAGAAACUUCAGGACACAGAAACUUCAGACCAGAAACUUUGCAACAGAGCCAAGACAGGACAGCAUCUCUUCCAUCAGUUCAGCAGCAGAUUCAGUGUGCAGGGCUUUGCCUCGUGUUUUCAAAGACUGUGGGAAGAGCCAGGAAUGGGACAGCCGAGGUCAGAAGUUUGACUGUUUCGGGGGUACAGGUUGGGAGCAUUUUGUACUUCAGCUGCUCUGGAUUAUGAAUCCUUUGGGCACUGAAUCUCUCCUGUCCUUUUUGGAGGGGAAUUUAAACAUGAGAAGAAAGGUUCAGGUAUGGAUUUGACAGCUAGAAAUUGUUUGUGCAGCGCUUUGUCCCAGGACUGAACAUGGUGUCACACCGAAGCUCAAGGCCAAAACAAUUUGCUCUGUUGGGUAUUUAACAAUCAGGAUACUUCAGGCAGCUGAAAGCCAGGACAGCUUUGACAGCCCAGCUACAACAGUUGGUCAGAAGAGCAAACACUUCCAAGGUAAUGGCUUUUAACAGUAAAACUGUGCUGCUGCUGCUGCUGAGACUGAAUUCCAGCUCCCUCCUGUGAAAGAAGCUCCCAGGACAAAAGCACCAUUUUCUCUGCUUAUACCUCCAUCUGCACAAGGUGCUUUUGCUGGCACAGCUCUGCCUUCAGAGGAUCUUAUCACAGCCGUGACUGACACAACUGUGCCCGGAGAGUCAGUGGUGGAACCCUGACCUGAAAAUACCCUGGCUCAGCUGCAGGGUUAACACCCAGCUGGGAAUAAAAAGAGGGACUCACUGAGUCCACUUUCUCAGCUGUCCUGAAAGCCAUGCACAGCCUGGGUAGGAAACCAUUGUUCUUUGGGAAGGAGAUCCCUCUGCUCUUUCAGCUGUUGUAUUUUGGGGAAUGGGUUUGGUCUAAAGAAGAACAUUUGGGGCCCAACAAAGUGCUGUAUUUAUUUACAAAAAAUUGUUAAAAAUU